CCAAACAAAAGAUAAAAAAAAACCAAUCAGAUGUUUCAAACAUUAAAUGUGUCAGGUUCUGUUCAGGUUGACCCAUCUCCAGGUCCGUCUAACAGUCCAGAACUGGACCUUCAGCUUUCAGUUCACACCGAGGUCUGACCUCCUGACCUGGUUAAAGACCUCAGGAACUCCUGGAGGAAAAGGUUCUGAUGGACGACAUGAAACCUGCAGGAGAUCAGAACCGGUCCAGAACUGCAGUCCAGGUCCAAGUCUGGUCUCAACAUCCCAAAGGGUCACUGGUCCCCAGAUCCAGCAGACUGUGGGAGAGGUGGGGGCACUCUGGACAUGAUUAUUUGUUUGAUUUAUACGUCU